CGGCUGGGAAGGAAUGCGGCCGGGACCCGCCACCCGGGUGCUAGGCAAGGCUCAGGGCCAGGGUCGCUGGGCCCUGCGCCCUCCUGAAGCUCGGCUCCCAGCUCCAGCUCCACCUCGUAAGUGGAAACGCGCGAUGCAAAGCGACAGAAAGAUCUGGAAAGCCGAGUCUGAGCAUUUGGGAGACCACAGGUGCGCAUCCACAACAGUGUGCAGGCUCUGCGAGGGGAGGUCUGCCGCCACGCAGGGCCAGCAGAUUUGCAGACGUGGUCCCAGGCUGCAGGUCUGCGAGGCUGAAGGCCCCCUCCAUGCGCGACCUGCUAGGACUAAACAGUGCUAACUCUAAACUCGCAGGGUUGCUUCAACCGUUAACGGAGAGGCCCCAUGUGCUCUCUGUUAAGGGCGGCUUCAUCGUGUUUAGGACCUUGUGGAGUUGCCUCUGGGGCUUCCAGGAAACUGCAUUAGUGCUACAGGCCUUUCCCGAAGCCAGUGUUGUGUUUUGUAGAUAAAUCUGCCACAUUCGUCAUCCCUCAUUCGUCACUGGCAUUCCCAAAGAAGGUGGAAUCUGUCCCUGAACCAUGUUCUGCACGUCAGUGCUAGGGCUCAUCUGACAGGGUUUCUCUGUGUAGCCUUGGCUGUCCUAGACUUGCUUUGUAAACCAGACUGGCCUUGAACUCAAGAGAUCCGACCACUUCUGCCUGAGUGCUGGGAUUAAAGGCAAGAGCCACCAUACCAGUCUAAAAACAGUAAAUUUCAAGAAGCAGGUGUGAAUGGUUGUUACUGUAAAUAAAGGUGUGCUAGCUGUGAUGCUGCUACUCUCCACUGAGUCCUGAUGAAGAUGGGGAUCUCUAGGAGUGCAACCACAUUUUGUAAAAAAGAUGAACAUGUAACUCAUUGGAGAGGCAGGUUAUUACUGAAGACAACCACCAAUACAGUACAUUUCUAUCAUACAGGUUACUGACUUUAUUUACCCCAACCAAAAAAGUGAUACCUUAAGAAAUGAGCAUAUAAAGAAUAGUAGAAAACUUAAUAGGAAAAAAAUAUUACUAGUUUCAUCUCAAGCCACAUAUAUACAGUUCAGCUGUUUUUUUCCUACAGCUCAACAUAUUUAAAGACAAAAAAUAUCAAUUCAGAGUUACAGCAUUUAGAAAACCCUCUUCAAACAGCCAGCACUUAUUUAGCAUACAAAGAGCCACAAAAUACAGCUAAUGCAUGCUUGUCAGUCAGUAAUGAACAAUCAGUUUGGAUGCCAAGGUUUAAGUGUUUCCCUUUGUAUUACUACUACCUUUCUGGAAAAACCUGAGUAAAACCACCACAUUCCAUAGUAUUGACACAUUUUUUUAA